rnacentral:rRNA from 1 species
ACGGAGCAACGCCGCGUGAACGAUGAAGGUCUUCGGAUCGUAAAGUUCUGUUGUUAGGGAAGAACAAGUACCGUGCGAAUAGAGCGGUACCUUGACGGUACCUAAACGAGGAAGCCCCGGCUAACUACGUGCCAGCAGCCGCGGUAAUACGUAGGGGGCAAGCGUUGUCCGGAAUUAUUGGGCGUAAAGCGCGCGCAGGCGGUUCCUUAAGUCUGAUGUGAAAGCCCACGGCUCAACCGUGGAGGGUCAUUGGAAACUGGGGAACUUGAGGACAGAAGAGGAGAGUGGAAUUCCACGUGUAGCGGUGAAAUGCGUAGAUAUGUGGAGGAACACCAGUGGUGAAGGCGACUCUCUGGUCUGUUUCUGACGCUGAGGUGCGAAAGCGUGGGUAGCAAACAGGAUUAGAUACCCUGGUAGUCCACGCCGUAAACGAUGAGUGCUAGGUGUUAGGGGGCUUCCACCCCUUAGUGCUGAAGUUAACGCAUUAAGCACUCCGCCUGGGGAGUACGACCGCAAGGUUG